rnacentral:lncRNA from 1 species
CUGCUGUGACAUGGCCUCCUGUCUUCUCUACUAGUUGAGUCCAGACAGACACAUGAAAAGUGUUCUGAAUAACAGAAUGAGCAUCUUCUUAGUUUGCAUUCAAGCAGUGCUUUAUGGUUGGGUGUAAGCUUGCUUCGAAUUUCACUCUGGGCCUAGAAAUAAUAUGAGAGCUGGUUAAAGACCAGGACUUGUUCCUGUCCUUACUACUGUAGUUCUCACGUUUACACCAGGGACCAUUUAUUCCCUCUUUGCGCUGGAAAUGCUGAGAGCAGCAGACGAGGUUUCUUGGCCUGUGGUACCUCCUGACGUCUGGAGCACGAAUCCUGCAAUAUUACAGAAACCAGGUUGGAAAAAAAGCCUUUAGUAACAGAGUUCACAUUUGAUACGUUGGGGAGGAUUGAUUUAAAGAAUGCUGCUGUGUUUUUUAAGUUUUAUUGCAGACUUCACUUCUGCAAAUUCUCCAUGGACCAUGUAGACAUCCCCUGUAAUUCUUGGACUUGCUUCUUUCAAAGCACCAGCUCUCGCUGUAAGGUGACCCCUAGCUGAAGAGUCCUGGCACUUCACACCCUGAAGCUCUUACUCAGCCUGUUUUCCAAGCUGGAGCUCAGACCCUAACAGCAAUCUUGCAGGGACUGGUGUAUUCAAAAAUUCUCUUUUAAUUCAGGCUCCGGGAUACUGUGGUUUGCGUUAUGAAAAAGUUAUGCGAGAUGUUUUUGGACAAGCCACCCAACAGCACGUGUCACGAGUGGGUGCAGUGACUCUGUGCGGUGCCAGAGGUCCUAGGAGUCUGUGAAUUGGGUAAGUCACAGGCACGCUUCCUUUUUUUGAGCUGGAUCUGUUUGGUAGCAGCGAUUUUAAAAUCACAGUACUUUUUAAACCAAAAUGAGCCUGUGAUACUGGCAGGUUAUCUGCAAUUCUGCAUUCCUUAGGUGUUUUGUGCUGUUCAAUGGGUGCAACCUUCGCUCGGCCGCAGAACGCGUUCUGCUGCUUUGCUGGAGUUUGUGCAGGGAUGUGUCAGUGGCAGAACUGACUGUUCUCCUUUCCCUCCAGCUCUGCUAGUUACUUCAUUAGUACAGGUAUAAUUGUUGCAAUUUAACAAACUGCAGGCAGGGCAUGCGAUCUG